GUACACGCUGUGACUAGCAUAUCAAUAAGCGGAGGAAAAGAAACUAACAAGGAUUCCCCUAGUAACGGCGAGUGAAGCGGGAAGAGCUCAAAUUUGAAAUCUUAAAGGGUUUCCCUUUACGAAUUGUAGUUUAAAGAAGUGUUUUCUGUUGAGGUUUUGGUAAAAGUUCUUUGGAAUAGGACAUCAUAGAGGGUGAGAAUCCCGUAUUUGACCUUUACUUUCAACUUUGUGAUACACUUUCAAAGAGUCGGAUUGUUUGGGAAUGCAGUCCAAAAUGGGUGGUAAAUUUCAUCUAAAGCUAAAUAUUGGCGAGAGACCGAUAGCGAACAAGUACCGUGAGGGAAAGAUGAAAAGAACUUUGAAAAGAGAGUUAAACAGUACGUGAAAUUGUCAAACGGGAAGCGUUUGACACCAGUGUUGUUUUUCUGAAAAUCAAUUAAAGAACUGUUUAUGCUAAGCUGUUUAGACUUUAUCAGCUAUCUGUUUAGUUUUGAGCUUUUCUUUAAUGCACUUUUCAGUUAACAAGUCAACAUCAAUUUCUUUUGCUGUAAAAAAGCUUGAGGAAGGUGGCUUGAGAUUCGUCUUAAGUGUUUAUAGCCUCUUGCCUAUGCAGUCGGAGAGAUUGAGGUCUGCAGCGUAGAUCCUUCGGGGCUAAAUGCAUUUGUGCUAAGUUAUAGCAUUUUCAUAGACAACUUGUUGACUAUGAUAUGUCUUGUAGCUUACUCGCUUAUGUUAUUUUACCUACGCUUAGGAUGUUGACGCGCGUGUGUGCGUG
rnacentral:rRNA from 1 species